rnacentral:rRNA from 1 species
CCUGACUGCUAUCGGAUUGAUACUAAGCCAUGCGAGUCGUUGUAGUAAUACAAGGCAGACGGCUCAGUAACGCGUAGUCAAUCUACCCUAUGGACGGAAAUAACCUCGGGAAACUGAGAAUAAUGUCCGAUAGAACAUUAUGCCUGGAAUGGUUUAUGUUUCAAAUGAUUUAUCGCCGUAGGAUGGGACUGCGUCCUAUCAGUUUGUUGGUGAGGUAAUGGCCCACCAAGACUAUUACAGGUACGGGCUCUGAGAGGAGUAGCCCGGAGAUGGGUACUGAGACACGGACCCAGGCCCUAUGGGGCGCAGCAGGCGAGAAAACUUUGCAAUGUGCGAAAGCACGACAAGGUUAAUCCGAGUGGUUUCUGCUAAAGAAACCUUUUGUCAGUCCUAGAAACACUGGCGAAUAAGGGGUGGGCAAGUUCUGGUGUCAGCCGCCGCGGUAAAACCAGCACCUCAAGUGGUCAGGAUGAUUAUUGGGCCUAAAGCAUCCGUAGCUUGCUUCGUAAGUUCUCGGUUAAAUCCAUGCGCUUAACGUAUGGGCUGCCGGCAAUACUGCAAAGCUAGGGAGUGGGAGAGGUAGACGGUACUCGGUAGGAAGGGGUAAAAUCCUUUGAUCUAUUGAUGACCACCUGUGGCGAAGGCGGUCUACCAGAACACGUCCGACGGUGAGGGAUGAAAGCUGGGGGAGCAAACCGGAUUAGAUACCCGGGUAGUCCCAGCUGUAAACUAUGCAAACUCAGUGAUGCAUUGGCUUGUGGCCAAUGCAGUGCUGCAGGGAAGCCGGUAAGUUUGCCGCCUGGGAAGUACGUACGCAAGUAUGAAACUUAAAGGAAUUGGCGGGGGAGCACCACAAGGGGCGAAGCCUGCGGUUC